UACGGGGGGUGCGAGCGUUGUCCGGAAUCACUGGGCGUAAAGGGCGCGUAGGUGGUUUGAUAAGGGUGUGGUGAAAGUCCGGGGCUCAACCCCGGGUCUGCCAUGCCGACUGUCACGCUAGAGUACUGUAGGGGCAGGCGGAAUUCCGGGUGUAGCGGUGGAAUGCGUAGAGAUCCGGAGGAACACCAGUGGCGAAGGCGACACGCUGGGCCGUACCUGACACUGAUGCGCGACAGCAUGGGGAGCAAACAGG
rnacentral:rRNA from 1 species